rnacentral:rRNA from 1 species
CGCGUAGACGGCUGUUUAAGUCUGGAGUGAAAGUCCUGCUUUCAAGGUGGGAAUUGCUUUGGAGACUGAAUGGCUUGAGUGCGGAAGAGGUAAGUGGAAUUCCCAGUGUAGCGGUGAAAUGCGUAGAGAUUGGGAGGAACACCAGUGGCGAAGGCGACUUACUGGGCCGUAACUGACGUUGAUGCGCGAAAGCGUGGGGAGCGAACAG